GACAGAGGGGGCUAGCGUUGUUCGGAAUCACUGGGCGUAAAGGGCGCGUAGGCGGCUAUAUAAGUCAGAGGUGAAAGCCUGGAGCUUAACUCCAGAACUGCCUUUGAUACUGUAUAGCUUGAGUUUUGAAGAGGGUAGUGGAAUUCCUAGUGUAGAGGUGAAAUUCGUAGAUAUUAGGAGGAACACCAGUUGCGAAGGCGGCUACCUGGUCAAAUACUGACGCUGAGGCGCGAAAGCGUGGGGAUCAAACAGG
rnacentral:rRNA from 1 species